GGAUGAACGCUGGCGGCGUGCCUAAUCCAUGCAAGUCGAGCGAACAGACGAGGAGCUUGCUCCUCUGACGUUAGCGGCGGACGGGUGAGUAACACGUGGAUAACCUACCUAUAAGACUGGGAUAACUUCGGGAAACCGGAGCUAAUACCGGAUAAUAUAUUGAACCGCAUGGUUCAAUAGUGAAAGACGGUUUUGCUGUCACUUAUAGAUGGAUCCGCGCCGCAUUAGCUAGUUGGUAAGGUAACGGCUUACCAAGGCGACGAUGCGUAGCCGACCUGAGAGGGUGAUCGGCCACACUGGAACUGAGACACGGUCCAGACUCCUACGGGAGGCAGCAGUAGGGAAUCUUCCGCAAAGGGCGAAAGCCUGACGGAGCAACGCCGCGUGAGUGAUGAAGGUCUUCGGAUCGUAAAACUCUGUUAUUAGGGAAGAACAAAUGUGUAAGUAACUAUGCACGUCUUGACGGUACCUAAUCAGAAAGCCACGGCUAACUACGUG
rnacentral:rRNA from 1 species